rnacentral:rRNA from 1 species
GGUUAAGCGACUAAGCGUACACGGUGGAUGCCCUGGCAGUCAGAGGCGAUGAAGGACGUGCUAAUCUGCGAUAAGCGUCGGUAAGGUGAUAUGAACCGUUAUAACCGGCGAUUUCCGAAUGGGGAAACCCAGUGUGAUUCGUCACACUAUCAUUAACUGAAUCCAUAGGUUAAUGAGGCGAACCGGGGGAACUGAAACAUCUAAGUACCCCGAGGAAAAGAAAUCAACCGAGAUUCCCCCAGUAGCGGCGAGCGAACGGGGAGCAGCCCAGAGCCUGAAUCAGUGUGUGUGUUAGUGGAAGCGUCUGGAAAGGCGCGCGAUACAGGGUGACAGCCCCGUACACAAAAAUGCACAUGCUGUGAGCUCGAUGAGUAGGGCGGGACACGUGGUAUCCUGUCUGAAUAUGGGGGGACCAUCCUCCAAGGCUAAAUACUCCUGACUGACCGAUAGUGAACCAGUACCGUGAGGGAAAGGCGAAAAGAACCCCGGCGAGGGGAGUGAAAAAGAACCUGAAACCGUGUACGUACAAGCAGUGGGAGCACAGAGCUUAUCUGUGUGACUGCGUACCUUUUGUAUAAUGGGUCAGCGACUUAUAUUCUGUAGCAAGGUUAACCGAAUAGGGGAGCCGAAGGGAAACCGAGUCUUAACUGGGCGUUAAGUUGCAGGGUAUAGACCCGAAACCCGGUGAUCUAGCCAUGGGCAGGUUGAAGGUUGGGUAACACUAACUGGAGGACCGAACCGACUAAUGUUGAAAAAUUAGCGGAUGACUUGUGGCUGGGGGUGAAAGGCCAAUCAAACCGGGAGAUAGCUGGUUCUCCCCGAAAGCUAUUUAGGUAGCGCCUCGUGAAUUCAUCUCCGGGGGUAGAGCACUGUUUCGGCAAGGGGGUCAUCCCGACUUACCAACCCGAUGCAAACUGCGAAUACCGGAGAAUGUUAUCACGGGAGACACACGGCGGGUGCUAACGUCCGUCGUGAAGAGGGAAACAACCCAGACCGCCAGCUAAGGUCCCAAAGUCAUGGUUAAGUGGGAAACGAUGUGGGAAGGCCCAGACAGCCAGGAUGUUGGCUUAGAAGCAGCCAUCAUUUAAAGAAAGCGUAAUAGCUCACUGGUCGAGUCGGCCUGCGCGGAAGAUGUAACGGGGCUAAACCAUGCACCGAAGCUGCGGCAGCGACGCUUAUGCGUUGUUGGGUAGGGGAGCGUUCUGUAAGCCUGUGAAGGUGUACUGUGAGGUAUGCUGGAGGUAUCAGAAGUGCGAAUGCUGACAUAAGUAACGAUAAAGCGGGUGAAAAGCCCGCUCGCCGGAAGACCAAGGGUUCCUGUCCAACGUUAAUCGGGGCAGGGUGAGUCGACCCCUAAGGCGAGGCCGAAAGGCGUAGUCGAUGGGAAACAGGUUAAUAUUCCUGUACUUGGUGUUACUGCGAAGGGGGGACGGAGAAGGCUAUGUUGGCCGGGCGACGGUUGUCCCGGUUUAAGCGUGUAGGCUGGUUUUCCAGGCAAAUCCGGAAAAUCAAGGCUGAGGCGUGAUGACGAGGCACUACGGUGCUGAAGCAACAAAUGCCCUGCUUCCAGGAAAAGCCUCUAAGCAUCAGGUAACAUCAAAUCGUACCCCAAACCGACACAGGUGGUCAGGUAGAGAAUACCAAGGCGCUUGAGAGAACUCGGGUGAAGGAACUAGGCAAAAUGGUGCCGUAACUUCGGGAGAAGGCACGCUGAUAUGUAGGUGAAGUCCCUCGCGGAUGGAGCUGAAAUCAGUCGAAGAUACCAGCUGGCUGCAACUGUUUAUUAAAAACACAGCACUGUGCAAACACGAAAGUGGACGUAUACGGUGUGACGCCUGCCCGGUGCCGGAAGGUUAAUUGAUGGGGUUAGCGCAAGCGAAGCUCUUGAUCGAAGCCCCGGUAAACGGCGGCCGUAACUAUAACGGUCCUAAGGUAGCGAAAUUCCUUGUCGGGUAAGUUCCGACCUGCACGAAUGGCGUAAUGAUGGCCAGGCUGUCUCCACCCGAGACUCAGUGAAAUUGAACUCGCUGUGAAGAUGCAGUGUACCCGCGGCAAGACGGAAAGACCCCGUGAACCUUUACUAUAGCUUGACACUGAACAUUGAGCCUUGAUGUGUAGGAUAGGUGGGAGGCUUUGAAGUGUGGACGCCAGUCUGCAUGGAGCCGACCUUGAAAUACCACCCUUUAAUGUUUGAUGUUCUAACGUUGACCCGUAAUCCGGGUUGCGGACAGUGUCUGGUGGGUAGUUUGACUGGGGCGGUCUCCUCCUAAAGAGUAACGGAGGAGCACGAAGGUUGGCUAAUCCUGGUCGGACAUCAGGAGGUUAGUGCAAUGGCAUAAGCCAGCUUGACUGCGAGCGUGACGGCGCGAGCAGGUGCGAAAGCAGGUCAUAGUGAUCCGGUGGUUCUGAAUGGAAGGGCCAUCGCUCAACGGAUAAAAGGUACUCCGGGGAUAACAGGCUGAUACCGCCCAAGAGUUCAUAUCGACGGCGGUGUUUGGCACCUCGAUGUCGGCUCAUCACAUCCUGGGGCUGAAGUAGGUCCCAAGGGUAUGGCUGUUCGCCAUUUAAAGUGGUACGCGAGCUGGGUUUAGAACGUCGUGAGACAGUUCGGUCCCUAUCUGCCGUGGGCGCUGGAGAACUGAGGGGGGCUGCUCCUAGUACGAGAGGACCGGAGUGGACGCAUCACUGGUGUUCGGGUUGUCAUGCCAAUGGCACUGCCCGGUAGCUAAAUGCGGAAGAGAUAAGUGCUGAAAGCAUCUAAGCACGAAACUUGCCCCGAGAUGAGUUCUCCCUGACUCCUUGAGAGUCCUGAAGGAACGUUGAAGACGACGACGUUGAUAGGCCGGGUGUGUAAGCGCAGCGAUGCGUUGAGCUAACCGGUACUAAUGAACCGUGAGGCUUAACCUU